CAAACUGCGGCAAUGGGGAUUUCACAAAGAAUGAAUGAGUGUCUUCUGGCUUAGUGCUUAUAGUAUGUAUGUCAUCGAGUUUGUGUUUGUCUCAAAACCUAUUUUAGUUUUUGUUAGUCUUUAUAAUCAGCCACAAGCUGGAUCUAUGAUAAUGAAUAGUUGGGUACAAAACUCAUGCAAAAGAUCGAAAUAACAUCAGCCUUUUCUAAGGCCCUGUUUAGAUUGGAGAUGAAAAUUUUUUGGAUGUCACAUCGGAUGUGUCGGUAGGAUGUCGGGAGAGGUUUUUACAAACUAAUAAAAAAACAAAUUACAUAGCUCGUCAGGAAACUGCAAGACAAAUCUAUUAAGUAUAAUUAAUCUGUCAUUAGCACAUGUGGGUUACUGUAGCACUUAAGGCUAAUCAUGGAGUAACUAGGUUUAAAAGAUUCGUCUCGCGAUUUUUAACCAAACUGUGUAAUUAGUUUAUUUUUUUAUGUACAUUUAAUAUUUCAUGCAUGUGUCCAAAGAUUCGAUGGGAUGGAUGAAAAAAUUUU
rnacentral:lncRNA from 1 species